GGUACAACCAAGGACUGUUGACUGGAUGAAUGAAAUGUGACUUUAAUGCUGCGCCCCAUCAAGCGAGGGUUGCUACAUUGUUGGGGGGAGGGGGUCCCUCAAGCAUCUAGUGUGUCCCCCAGGACACAGGCAGCACUCACUCCUGAGGCCCAACAUGGAAGUCCCCCCAACUGCUCCUGCCUCCCCAGGCAUCUCCCAGCCCCGAAAGGGGGCUCUUCACCACUGACCAAAACUCUCUGUGAUAGCACGGAUCCCGCAGAGUUGUGUGCAGGGUGCUGAGCUCCUCAGGGGAGGCUCCAUCUCAUUCAUGGCCAUGGCAAGGUGCCAAGUGCAGGCCUCACUUGGAAUCAGCAGCCAAGAGCUACUUGUCAAGCUGGAUUACAUGCAAGCCAGUCUCAAUUCUCAGAUUUACCCCCUUUCCCUACCUGUUCCCUUCUCCUCCCCAACCCCCUUCUCAGGGCCCCCUUACCAGGCCACCCGGGACAUGGCAUAUGUGACUCGGCAUGUCUGGGCCCCCUCAAGGAGGGAACCCAUGCCCACAGUGUAGGCGCCCAUGUUCUCAAAGACCAGCCAGUCCCCUACGUGUAGUUGCGGCAGCCACAGGCCCUCAGCUAUGCAGUCACAGCCAUCGACCACAGGGCCCCACAGGCUGCUGCUGUACAGGGGCUGCUCCAUGGAUGAUUUCUGCAGGAGACAGGGAUAGUCACAUUGAGCGCAGCCUUAGCAUUCCUCCCUCAAAAGCUUUCCAUGGCUCCCAUAACCAGUUUAAUAAAGACUGGAUGGGCACGUAAGGCCCUCCAGCUUCUCUGCGCU